AGACGUUCCCGGCGAAGGCGUUUUGGAGGAGUAUCUAGCCGAGGAAAUCGAACCAGGAAACGAAGCAGUCACUAUCGAGAUUCUGGAUGCUAGCAAAGCUGUCGUUGUUGACUCACAGUUAAAAGUCGCAAGUCGGUCUCGAUCAGAAAAUCGGAAUUGGAUGCUCGUUCGUGAAAUCGAUUCUAAUCAGCCAUUAAUCACAAGCUAUUAUGAGUGCACUCAACGAAUCGUUAAUAUAGCUGAACAACUCCAAACCGAUUCGAGUUCGGGACGGUCGUCUAAUUCUACACCAUGUAUCCUGGAUAUUGAAACGACUUCUAAUACGGCUUCACCUAGUAUGAAAUCUAAACUCCUUCUGGAGCUCGUAAAUCUCUUCAAUGUCAGCGGGAAAAGGAUCAAAUUUGCAGAUGAGUUUAAGACGUAUUGCACCUACAUGUAUAUUUUAGCAGGACCGAAGGCUUAUAAUACGCUUAAAUCAACAUUGCCGUUAAUUUCGUUGAGAACUGCACAAAAACAUCUACACAAAACUAUUGAUCGAGUUAAAGAAGGGGAAUUGCGAGUUGAGCAGCUGAAGAAAUUUUUGGAACUCACGGAUUCUCCACCUGUUGUUUGGCUAUCCGAGGAUGCAACGAGGCUAGUUUCUAAAUUACAAAUCGAUCCUGCUUCUGGAAAUAUAAUUGGAACUCUUCUGCCGAAAGAUGAUGAGACAGGAAUGCCUGUAUUAUUACAGAGAGACCUUGAAAGUGUUUCACAGAUGAAAAAAGAAUUGAACUCCUCCACACUGACCAUCAACGCCGUAGUCACUAUAGACCCUUAAAAAAAGGUGCCCCACCUUUCUGUUUGAUGGUUGUGGGAUGUGAUAAGUUUACUGCAGCACCAGUAACCAAACGACGCAUAUUCGUAAUAGAGAAACUAAAUUCUGUUGGUAUAUUAGUUCCAGGAAGCUCUUCAGAUGGCGAUUCACGAUAUACAUGUUCUCAAAAACAAUUCUGUGGAAUGUACAAAAAUGUGCAACUAACGAAUGUACCAGCAGACUGGAUCCAUUGGUUCAAUACUCCAUUUGAGAAUGAUUACGGUCACCACUGCAUUCAAGACACUGUGCAUAUCAUGGGCAAGAUGCGAAACAAUUUGUUCAACUCAGGAAGUGGUAUAAGAAUAGGAAAUUUCAUCGCAUCUAAAGCACACCUAAGGAUCGUUGUUCAGAAUAUGCCACGCACAAUACAUAAAUUGAAUGUUGGAGACAUUUUGUCGAAUGACAAAAUGAAUUAUUCUUCUAUUACAAAGCUACUAAACCCAAAAAUUGAGGAAUGGGUUCUAACAAAUAUUCCUGGAGGUAGUGGAACUGUGAUGUAUCUUAAAAUAAUGCGAUAUGUGAAUGAAGCUUUCAUAGACUCAUCGCUCAGUCCUCUAUGUCGUAUUUAUAGGAUGGCGUUUGCUGUAAUGGCUCUCCGUAUCUGGAAGACUUGUUGUAGGAAAAACAGGAGCUGCUUUAUGAUAGCGGCAAAUAUCUAC